UACAGAGGGGGCGAGCGUUGUUCGGAAUUACUGGGCGUAAAGGGCGCGUAGGCGGCCCGCUAAGUCGAACGUGAAAUCCCCAGGCUCAACCUGGGAACUGCGUCCGAUACUGGCAGGCUUGAAUCCGGGAGAGGGAUGCAGAAUUCCAGGUGUAGCGGUGAAAUGCGUAGAUAUCGGGAGGAACACCUGUGGCGAAAGCGGCUCACUGGACCACAACUGACGCUGAGGCGCGAAAGCUAGGGGAGCAAACAGG
rnacentral:rRNA from 1 species